ACGGAAGGCAGCAGUGGGGAAUACUGCACAAUGGGGGAAACCCUGAUGCAGCGACGCCGCGUGAGUGAAGAAGUAUCUCGGUAUGUAAAGCUCUAUCAGCAGGAAAGAUAAUGACGGUACCUGACUAAGAAGCACCGGCUAAAUACGUGCCAGCAGCCGCGGUAAUACGUAUGGUGCAAGCGUUAUCCGGAUUUACUGGGUGUAAAGGGAGCGCAGACGGCAUGGCAAGCCAGAUGUGAAAGGCAGGGGCUCAACUCCUGGACUGCAAUUGGAACUGUCAAGCUAGAGUAUCGGAGAGGUAAGUGGAAUUCCUAGUGUAGCGGUGAAAUGCGUAGAUAUUAGGAGGAACACCAGUGGCGAAGGCGGCUUACUGGACGAUAACUGACGUUGAGGCUCGAAAGCGUGGGGAGCAAACAGGAUUAGAUACCCUGGUA
rnacentral:rRNA from 1 species